ensembl:processed_transcript 8030451A03Rik RIKEN cDNA 8030451A03 gene
AGGAGUUUGCCCAAAUCAUUGGCUAGCCACUUGCUUGCACUGCCUUCCUUGCUGCUCUGGAUUCUCAAGGGUGGGCAGCUUAUAGCCAGACAGAAAUAUGUUACAAGGAGGAAUCACAGCAGACCAUUACCAGGAGGUACAUACAUGGAAUAUCCCGGACUCGGAUAGACAACAAUGACGCUACUUUUUCAAAUGCGGAUGAACUUGUUUCCACAUCAUUUUGGCAACUCUAAGAAGAAUAAAUUCUAUCUCCUAGUAAUCCACCUUGCAAUCAACUCUUGAUUUCCUGGCUAUCAGAAUUUGACUUCUACAGUCAGUUCAUAUAACAGUGUGAUCUGAGAUAAUUCUGCCUCAGAGUUCAAGAGCUCACAUGCCAUGAGGACACUCAAGCAGUGCUGAGAGGAACAGUCAACAAUGGCUCCUGGACCACGUGAGUGAAGCAUCUUGGCAGUAGAAUCUAGCCCAAGAGAGAGGAGAGGCAUGCUUUGUGUUGGGCUCUGCAUUCUUGGGCAGCUGAAGCAGAGUGAGAAACUGGCUGAUGUGGAGAGGCUCUUACAUCCUGGGCUUGGACUUCCGGCUUGCUGAAUGGAAGUGAUGAGCCUUCCCCACGCCCUCUCCCCUUUUGGAUCCACGUUGCUAUCUGUGUCAGAAGGCUCUGGAAAAUUUACACCUGCACACCUGCUCCGUUUUGUGUUCCUCUUGAUUUUAUGAGUGGACAGCUGUGAGCUACAAGGAGCUCAACAGUUUAGAACCCCUCCCGCAACACGACAUGAGAAGACACGGUUUCCCUCUCCUUUUCCACACUCCAGGCUCUGCAUGAGACGUGUGAAGGCUGUCUUCCCAGCUUGUCACAUAUAAUUAGGAUUUCUGAGACUUCUUCAGAGAAAGAAAAGGGUUGUAAUUUUCUGAUGUCACUGAGUCAUUUUGGUAUAACUUUCUUGUUCUUAUUGAGGUGGAAUGUGUGUUUGUGUAUAUGUGUGUAUGUAAGUGUAACAUACAUGUAUAUAUACACACAUAUGUAACAUGUGUAUGUGUGCAUGCAUGUGUGUUGUAUGUGGAAUGUAGUAACAUUUAAGGAAAUGGAUAUAAAGUGUUUUUAGACUUGUCUCAGUCCAGUUAUCUGCUUCCCUGAGGGCUAUGUCAUUCCCUGUGCCCAACAAAGUGUCCUGAGACAUUUCCUAUUAUGUAUUCUCUGCCACUUGUAUAGUUAUUUGUUUUGUCCUCACAACACAGUUCAGCUCUGUCCAUGGGAUGGGGCAAAUGGGUACAAUCUUUUUAUAACUUGAUUGGACACAUCAGUAUGAAGGCAGAAUUAAAAAGAAAACACUAUUUCAUUUACUUUAAUUAUUAUAAAAUCUUCAGAAGAGAACUAGGUAUUCUGGAUUUAUGUUUUGCAUAUAGCAGUUGUUUUUAAAAAAACAGAAAAAUCAUGUUUAAUAAUGCGAACAUUGUUUUCUCUUGUGCUAUGGAAGCUAGUUCAGUAUGUGUGUACUUAAAUAAGAGGAAAGAGGCUGGAAGCAAAAUAAUGUUCUGGUCUCUAUCCAAAACAUCCUUUUUUUUCCUCCCUCUUUGCAAAGUCUUAAAGUCUUAAAAGCUGUGGUGAUUAGCUUCCACACUUCUUUCCUAAAUGCAAAGUGAGAUGCUGGUUUAUGGACCAGAAUGAAAAAAACCAAGAGCUGAGACUCUCACGGGACAGCUUGCCAGUGAAGUCGUCCAAGUCCAAGAAGCUUUACAGAAGUUGGAGGUGCCCUGGAAAGGGACCAACAGCCUUUUCAGCUCUUUACCCAUCACUAAUUCUGGCUCCAGCUGGACUCCGGCUUGCUGAUGAAAGGGAAUGAAAGCCGUGGGCCUUCAAGGGCAUUUUGGAUGGAAUCUAUUCAGUCUGCAUUUACUUGCCCUGCAUUAUGAAAUCUCCAUGACAACAGGCACAUGUCUCAGUGUGUUACAUGGAGAAGGACUCUACUUUGUCAGGAGAAUCUGAUCAUGUGCCACUUCCUUCCUGGGUGUUGGAAUGGGUUCCACCUGGAGUUGGUUUCCCCUCAUCCAAGAUGAUGGUAAUACAGAAAGAUAUCUGAGGCCAGCAUCCAAAUUCCUGAAACCACCAUAGAUCCCACUGGAGACAUGUGGGAAUGGAGUUUGCUUCGGUGGCAGUUGGCAAGCAUGGCACUGAUGAGAAGUUGAGGCUGAGGCACCCUUUCUGCUUCAGUUGGCUCUCUGAUUUGGCUGGUUUCUGAAAGUUAUGAGAUGAAAGGGUGGGCGAGACUCUGGCCAUCAUUAUUCUGCUCUGAGAAGUAUGAUUUUUGAAGCUGCUAAUACUAAAUAAGUCUCACACAACAUCCUGAAAUUAUUGUCCCCCAAAUUGUCUGUCUUUAGUCAUUUUACAAGCCUGAGAGAUGUCUACAACAACAACAAAACAGAACACUGCAAAACAAAAAAGCAGAGUAUUGGUCAGAAGAAAAGCUAGUUCUCAUCAGCUACAGUACCCAUACUAGAAUUAUCUACCAUAUGAGAUAUUUUAAGGAAAAUAAUUGAUUCUCAUUUUCAGCAUGCUUAAUUAUUAAUCCCCCAAAGGAGACAACUAUUAUGUUUCUGUAAAAUAAAAAACCUGAUUUCC